UGAGGAAUAUUGGUCAAUGGACGGAAGUCUGAACCAGCCAUGCCGCGUGCAGGAUGACGGCUCUAUGAGUUGUAAACUGCUUUUGUAUGAGGGUAAAGUUGGGUACGUGUACCCAUUUGAAAGUAUCAUACGAAUAAGGAUCGGCUAACUCCGUGCCAGCAGCCGCGGUAAUACGGAGGAUCCAAGCGUUAUCCGGAUUUAUUGGGUUUAAAGGGUGCGUAGGCGGUUUUUUAAGUUAAUUGUUAAAUCUCUGAGCUUAACUCAGAAAUGGCGAUUAAUACUGGAAGACUUGAGAUUAGUUGCAGAGGGCGGAAUGUGUAGUGUAGCGGUGAAAUGCUUAGAUAUUACACAGAACACCGAUUGCGAAGGCAGCUCUCUAAGCUACAUCUGACGCUCAGGCACGAAAGCGUGGGGAUCAAACAGG
rnacentral:rRNA from 1 species